rnacentral:rRNA from 1 species
UAGCUGAAUGGACGUUACCCACAUAAGAAGCACCGGCUAACUCCGUGCCAGCAGCCGCGGUAAUACGGAGGGUGCGAGCGUUAAUCGGAAUUACUGGGCGUAAAGGGUGCGUAGGUGGUUUGAUAAGUUAUCUGUGAAAUUCCUGGGCUUAACCUGGGACGGUCAGAUAAGACUGUUGGACUCGAGUAUGGGAGAGGGUAGUGGAAUUUCCGGUGUAGCGGUGAAAUGCGUAGAGAUCGGAAGGAACACCAGUGGCGAAGGCGGCUACCUGGCCUAAUACUGACACUGAGGCACGAAAGCGUGGGGAGCAAACAGGAUUAGAUACCCGG